rnacentral:rRNA from 1 species
CCUACGGGGGGCUGCAGUGAGGAAUAUUGGUCAAUGGGCGGAAGCCUGAACCAGCCAAGUAGCGUGCAGGAUGACGGCCCUACGGGUUGUAAACUGCUUUUAUACGGGAAUAACGCGCCUUACGUGUAGGGCUUUGCAUGUACCGUAUGAAUAAGGACCGGCUAAUUCCGUGCCAGCAGCCGCGGUAAUACGGAAGGUUCGGGCGUUAUCCGGAUUUAAUGGGUUUAAAGGGUGCGUAGGCCGCAUGUCAAGCGUGCUGUGAAAUGUCCGGGCUCAACCCGGGCCUUGCAGCGCGAACUGGCGUGCUUGAGUCCGCGGAAAGCAGGCGGAAUUCGUCGUGUAGCGGUGAAAUGCUUAGAUAUGACGAAGAACCCCGAUUGCGAAGGCAGCUUGCUGCAGCGGAACUGACGCUGAUGCUCGAAAGCGCGGGUAUCGAACAGGAUUAGAUACCCCAGUAGUC